ACAUAAAUGAAUUAAGGCGCCAAUCCGAUCCGAUCCAACCUGGAUAAAAUAGAACUAGGUUGAACCCGUAUGACCCGACAUUUAGCAAAUAAAGGCCACAGUUCCCAACCUAGCCUCCAACAGACACUGCAACAAAGCCCACAACCUCAGCCUAGUUGCCUUCUCCACUUCAUCAUCUUCAACUUUGAGUUUUUUGUUCCCAGAUCUAGGGUUCCAACUUUCGAUCUCUAUAGUUUCAACUCGAAAAUUUUUCCCGUCUAAAAUGGCCCUAAAGUGCAACAUCUGACCUUGUAAAUCCUUCAAGAUCAUAUC